rnacentral:lncRNA from 1 species
AUGGUGCCAUCUCACUGCAACCUCCGCCUCCUGGAUUCAAGCAAUUCUCCUGCUUCAGCAAAGAAGCUGGGAUUACAGACAUGUACACUAAAUUUUCCAGAACUACAACUCUUGUGGAUAAUAAGAUUCUCUGAAAAGAAAUACAUUUUGGUCUGCUGCAUUAUGACAUUGGCAUUUUAUAGCACCAGGAUCGUUGUGAGGAGAACUUGGUUUUCCAGAUGUGCCUGGGAUGCUGGGGGUGGGUGGGUAAGCACGCCUUGUUCUGAGUCUCAGUUACCGUACACAUAAGCCACUUCCUUCAACCUGGCCUUUAUCAAUACUUAAAAGGAUAUUUAGAAUUAGCUUGUCAAGUUCUUUUUUAUUUUUCUGUUCUUUUCUUUUUUUGAGAAGGAGUCUUGCUUAGUCACCCAGGCUGGAGUACAGUUGUGCGAUCUCCGCUCACUGCAACCUCCGCCUCCUGGGUUCAAGCGAUUCUCUCACCUCAGCCUCCCGAGUAGCUGGGAUUACAGGCGUCCACCACCACGCCCGGCUAAUUUUUAUGUUUUAAUAGAGACAGGGUUUCACCAUGUUGGCCAGGCUGGUCUGGAACUCCUGACCUCAAGUGAUCCACCCUCCUCAGCCUCCCAAAGUGCUGUGAUUACAGGCAUGAGCCCCCGCGCCCGACCGGUUUGUCAAGUUCUAUAAAUAAAUGUUGUGAUUUUGAGUGAUUGCACUGGUAUCCUAUGUUUAAUUUUCUGAAGACUUGCCAAACUAUUUUCAAAAACGACUCUACCAUUUUCCAUUUCCACAAGCAUUAUGUGUGUGCGUACAUACACAGUAUGUGCAUAUAUAUGUGUAUAUGUAUAUAUAUCAUAUAUGUAUUCUCAUCAGACAUAUAAUUUGCAGAUAUUUUCUCUCAUUCUGUGGGUUUUUUUACUUCCUUGGUAGUAUCCUUCAAAACACAAAGAUUUUAAUUUUUAUUAAGUCCAAUUUAUUUCUUUCUCUUAUUUGUGUUUUUGAUGUAAUGUAUAAGGACAUACUGUCUAAAGUCAUGAAGAUUUAUACUUUUGGUUUUGUACAGGAGUUUUACAGUUUUAGAUCUUACGUUUAGGUCUUUGAUCCAUUUGGAGUUAACUUUUUUGGUAUAUAUUGUGCAACAGGAAUUCAACUUCAUUCUCUUGCAUGUGGAUAUUCAGUCAUCCAAACCCCAUUCAUUGAAGAGAUUAUUUUUUCCUCACAGAAUGAUUUUGGCACCGUGUCGAAGAUUAAUUGGCCAUACAACUUUAGGUUUAUUUCUGGGCUCAUGAUUCCACUGCAUUGGCCUAUGUGUCUAUCCUUAUGCCAGCACUGCAGUCUUGAUUACUGUAGCAUUGUAGUGAGCUUUGAAAUUGGGA